AUAUAUUUGUGUAUAUUCUUUAUCACCGCGGAAACGUGAGGUAACGUUACUCAUUUUAUAACCUUUAUGAUGUUAUAGUCAAUCGUGCUUAUGUAGCCACAUUCUUCUAUUAGCUCUGUAAAACAAUGCUAAAUGCGUCAGAGAAGUAUUAUCUUGUGUUGCAUUUUGAAGCUACCAUGGCCUUAUGACUCUCAAGUGGUGCAGCGGUCAAAGGCACAGCACAUCAGUACUAGAGGUGUCACUACAGACUCCCUGGUUCAAAUCCAGGCUGCGUUUCCAUCAAAAAACCAGAAACAUUAUUUGCCAAUAUCAUAACUGGAGCUGGACAUCUUUGGAGCUGAAGAAUGAGGACAGCUUUUGUAUGCUAACGUACACUCCUUAACAGUUGUACUGGAUGAAAACACAGCAAGAAAACGCAUGCCAAUAUGUAAUAUUCAUCUAUUUUAUUGCAGUACUGGUAGUUAUUUCAACAACUUGUUUUACUAGAGGACAAAAAACUGAAUAUGCGUAACCCAUAUUUAAUAUCCAUGCAGUGACUGAACAACAACUGCAUUUCCACCCCCAUCUCUAAGGCAUAGUAUCAUGGCUGGUCACCUGUCAAGUCACAUGUCAGGCAGACUUUGCAAUGCCUCCGUGUGCGACUACCUUGAGAAGCAGUUUGAGGGACUUUGCAGGGAAAAUGUCGUGCAGUGAGGCGUAGGCGAUUGUCUACAGCAGGACGACCCCCAGUGGAUGGGCGCCGAGGGGUGUGGUGCUCCUCCAGCAGCUCUCUCAUGAGGUUCUCUCUGUAUUUUUGGUGGUCCACCUUCCCUGUGGCCGACAUGGUUGCUGUAUGGACAGUGGAGAGGACAUGGACGUCUCGCUUGUCAUGCCACUUUACUGCC